rnacentral:lncRNA from 1 species
AUGGCCAGGUGGGCAGUGAGCAGAACUAUUCUAAUCUGGUGUCGUUUUGCUUCUUCUCAUGGUGACUAGGGCAGACCUGGGGAUCCUGGACAACGUGGUGAGCCUGGGACAGUCUCGAAUGUUGAACGUGCCCUGGAAGCCUAUGGGAUUAAGAUUGCCUCGCUCAGAGAGAUCACUGGAGCCUAUGACGGCAGCACUGAUCCAUUCCUGCCCUACCCUGACCGCCGGAGAGGCCCAAAGGGUGAUAGGGGAGACUCAGGGGAGAGGGGACCUCCAGGCAAAGAGGUGAGGUGAAGCCAUCAACAGGGUUGGGGCAGGUACAGAU